ensembl:lncRNA
UUAAUGAUGAGGGAUGGAAACCACAAGCCAAGUGAGUGGAUGGAGAGAGUGGGUGUCCUGUCGGGCUGAGUGGAUGGAGAAUGGGGUGCCCGUCAGCUGAUGAGUGGACGGAGAGAAUGUGGGGUGUCCCGUCAGCUGAUGAGCGGACGGAGAGAAUGCGGGGUGUCCCGUCGGCUGAUGAGUGGAUGGAGAGAAUGUGGGGUGUCCCUUUGGCUGAUGAGUGGAUGGAGAGAAUGCGGGGUGUCCCGUCGGCUGAUGAGCGGACGGAGACAAUGCGGGGUGUCCCAUCGGCUGAUGAGCGGACGGAGAGAAUGCGGGGUGUCCCUUCGGCUGAUGAGCGGACGGAGACAAUGCGGGGUGUCCCGUCGGCUGAUGAGUGGACGGAGAGAAUGUGGGGUGUCCCGUCGGCUGAGUGGAUGGAGAGAAAGUGGGGUGUCCCGUCGGCUGAGUGGAUGGAGAGAACGUGGUGUGUACACGCCGUGGAACACUUCCCAAACUCAACUGCAGAAAAGAAUGAGAGAAUUUCUGUCGCAGCAGCUUGGAUGGAGCGGGAGGCCACUCUUCUAAGUGAAGUAACUCAGGAAUGGAAAACAAGGAGCACGUGUUCUCACUUAUAAGUGGGUGCUGAGCUCUGGGUGUGCAAAGGUUGACAGAGUGAUAGAACGGACAUUGGCAACUCAGGAAGGGGGAGGCCUUGCAGGGAGGGAGGAAAAAUUACUCAUUGGGUACAGUGUACACUACUUGGAUAACAGGUGUGCUACAAUCUCAGACUUCACCGCUAUACAAUUCAUCCAUGUAACCCAAAACCACUUGUACCUUGAAAGCUAUAGAAAUAAAAAAUAUAUGUGUAUAAAAACAGAGAGAAUUCGCCACCACCAGACCUGCCCUGCAAGAAACAUUGAAAGAAGUUCUUGCGGGAAAAGAAAGACAGUAUAUCAGAAACUCAGAUCUACAGAAACAAGAAUGUUGGGGAAGGAAUACGAGGUGGUAAAGUCUUUUAUUUUUCUCACUCUUAAUUGAUCUAGAAUAUAAUGUCUUGCUUAGCAUCAUAAUAGUAAUAAUGCGUUGGAUGAUUAUAGAUUGUGGAGAACUGAGGUAAACAGCCAUCUCACAAGGAACAGGAAACAGAAACCAGGAUGCCCCACCACAGAGUCUGCACUCACACGGGCUGGAGCAGUGUUUUUCCAAGGCGGGCUUAGUUCAGGUGAAUGUCUAUUGAGAGCUCCAGCACAGGCACUGGGAAGAUUUCAAAAAUGUAUAUAAGUGAAGGUCUAAGAGAGAAAUCAUAUCAAACACUCACCCAAAACCAAUGGGGGCAGAAAAAGGAUAUGAAGAAAAAAGUAUGAACAACACCAUGUCCACAAACAUGAGAAUUUUUCUUUUUUCUUUUUGAGAUGGAAUCUCACUCUGUCGCUAGGCUGGAGUGCAGUGGCACGAUCUCGGCUCACUACAACCUCCGCCUUCCAGGUUCAAGCGAUUCUCUUGCCUCAGCCUCCCAAGUAGCUGGGACUACAGGCAUGCGCCACCACGCCCAGCUAAUUUUUAUAGUUUUAGUAGAGACGGGGUUUCACCAUGUUAGCCAGGAUGGUCUCAAUUUCCUGACCUCAGGUGAUCAACUCACCUCAGCCUCCCAAAGUGCUGGGAUUACAGGUGUGAACCACUAUGCCCAGCCAAAUAUGAGAAUUUAAAUGAAAUGGAUCAAUUCUUUGAUAGACACAAUCUACUAAAACUCUCUCAGGAGAAACAGGUGAUCUAGAUAGUCCCAUACCUAUUAAAGAAACACAGUGAACACUUAAUAAGUGUGCAAAACAAGCACGGCCCAGGUGGCUGCAGCCAACAUCAUAAUUAGUGGUGAGAAACUGGACAUUUUCCCUCUAAGACUGGGGACAAGGCAGGGAUGUCCCCUCUUACCUGUUCAACUUUGUACUGCAAGUCCCGGGUAGUGCAGUAAGAUGAGAAAAGGAAGUAGGAGACGUACAGAUUGGGACAGAAGGAAUGGAACUGUAUUUAUUUUUAUUCAUUUAUUUUUUUGAGAUGAAGUCUUACUCUGUCAUCCAGGCUGGCGUGCAGUGGCGUGAUCUCAGCUCACUGCAACCUCUAUCUCCUGUUCAAGUGAUUCUCCUGCCUCAGCCUCUCCAGUAACUGGGACUACAGGUGUGUACCACCACGCCUGGCUAAUUUUUGUAUUUUUUGGUUUUUUUUUGUUAGUAGAGAUGGGGGUUCACUAUGUUGCCCAGGCUGGUCUCGAACUCCUGACCUCAAGUGAUCCACCUGCCUCAACCUCCCAAAGUGCUGGGGUUACAGGCAUGAGCCACCAUGCCUGGCCUCAAGAAAUUUUUAAGCACAAAGUACAGUGAAGGCUGGAUGUAGUGUGCCAGAUCUCUAGUGCACACUCACCCAGUGUGCUGAGACUUUACACCAUUGAUUCACAGCUCCCCAUGCUCCCUCCCCAGCCCCCGGCAGCCACCACUCUCCUCUCUGCUUCUGUGAGGCGUCUGACGGUUUCAGAGACCUCAUUUAAGUGGAAUCAUACAAGAUUUAUCCUUCUGAGACUGGCUUGUUCCACUGGUGCAAUGGUAAGGUCCACGUCAUGUUGCAGAACUGACGUCAUUUGAAAGGCUGCGUAGUAUUCCAUAGUGUGGAUCGUGGACCAUGUCUGGUGUAUCCAUUCAUUUGUUGAUGGACGUGACAGCUGUUUCCACACCUUGGCUAUUCCAAACAGUGCUGCGUGAAGUCCGCAUUCUGUCUAUGGAAGUCUUGCAGGAUGGGGAAGAGGGCAGUGGUGGGAAGCGUGUGCAGAAAGCAGGAGGUGGUCAUUGUGAGCAGCGCACCUGGGCUGAGAUGCACUGGGAAGAGGACAUUGUGUGAGGCAUUUGCAACAGCCCAGCCUCUUGUAACAGCCAGGUGGCCCCUACCUGGCCGAUAGCUAUUGAUCACGAAGCCAGCGGUGUCCUUAGCCCAGAGUACUGUGCAAACAACCAAAGCUUGCUCAGAAAAGACUGGACAGUUCGACAGAUAACUCAGACAUUGACUACGGACGUCACUGGGGGGAUUCUGCCAUGAGUCCCUGUGACGGGAUGGGCCAAUAUCCUCACCACAGACUGGACACCAAACCCCACCCGGCCUGGUCUGUCUGCCUCUGACAUGGUUCAAGAUAGACUGCUGCUCAUUCCACACAGCGCCGUCUUGUCCCCUCACAGUUUUCUGAGAUCGGAAUCAUCAUUUGCUGAAGAUCCUGGUUUAGGAACAUUCUAGAUUAUCUCUCGGGAUGGCCUCAUCCAUGGUGUUGUGGGGGCUGCUUUCUCCAGGAAGCCCUCCUGCUUCCUGCUUUAUCGAGGCCCUUUGGGAGGGGUUUCAUCGCCCAUGGCUCUUGGGACAGGGUCCUGUGUGUUCCCUGUAUUCAGUCUGAAGAAACCUCCAUCCAUCAUCUUUGUCACUUUAAACCGAACGUUGCAUACCGGAGACCUACGCACAGGAGAGAUAACUGGAGGAUGCCACAUAAACGUACAGAUCUCCAAUUUGUCUUAAAGACUCAGAAGUUUCCUUUCUUAGGUGGCGACCCCCGUGGUGGCCUGGAGCAGGUCAGUGACUGUGUGCUCUUGAGUCUACCCCCUUCACUUCCUACUCUCCUCCAUGGCCUCUGAAAUUACGCCCCAGGCUCCCUUGCUGGGUGGCCGCAGGGAGGAUCCAUGCAGGAAGCCAUGGAUCUCCAGAGACUGGUGAGUGGGACAGAGAAGGGCCAGGGGCAUUUCUCCUGCUGUCUCUGCUCAGAGCACCACUCAUGCCUGUGGAUCUCCUGUGGCCCCAGCUUUCCCUGGACAGCACCUUCUUCUGCGGCCCCAGCUCCCCCUGGACAGCACCUUCUUCUGUGGUCCCAGCUCCCCCUGGACAGCACCUUCUUCUGUGGCCCCAGCUUUCCCUGGACAGCACCUUCUUCUCUUGACCCCAGCUCCCCUGGACAGCACCUUCUUCUCGCAUUUAGCUCCCCUGGACAGCACCUUCUUCUCGCAUUUGGCUCCUGGACAGCACAGCC